UACGUGGGGCGCAAGCGUUAUCCGGAAUUAUUGGGCGUAAAGGGCUCGUAGGCGGUUUGUCGCGUCGGGUGUGAAAAUCCAGGGCUUAACUCUGGACUGGCUUCUGAUACGGGCAGACUAGAGGUAUGCAGGGGAGAACGGAAUUCCUGGUGUAGCGGUGAAAUGCGCAGAUAUCAGGAGGAACACCGGUGGCGAAGGCGGUUCUCUGGGCAUUACCUGACGCUGAGGAGCGAAAGUGUGGGGAGCGAACAGG
rnacentral:rRNA from 1 species